GGACGUUGGGAUGUGCUCGCUCAUCCCGAGAGUAAAAACCUCCUUUACUUCUUCAUGGUCUUCCUCUUGGUAGCGGCGAAUCUGCACCUCAGCCAUGACCUUCAAAUCAAGCAUGACAUUAGAAACAAUUACACUUUUGAGGGGAAGCACUAUCGCCAUCCACUGGAGAGGAGGAAAAGUGCGAUGCAUUUGGUGGACAAGGCAAAAUUGAUAUCUCCAGCAAACAGGGUAAUAAGCAAAAUUACAGUGAAUCCGGUGAGCAGCCCAGCAUUUUGGAUCAGGAAG